rnacentral:pre_miRNA from 1 species
UAAUCUGUAUAGGGUAAAUUCUCAUCUAAUUAUGGUAGAAUCACACUUGAUUGCUUAUAAUCAUUCGUUAUCGCAGACCCGAUUACAUCAUUGACACUUAUAAAACAUAUUUGAAAAAAAAAUGUUAAUAAAAUUAUGGUUUUAU